UCACGUCGGAUGUGAAACUCUGGGGCUUAACCCCAGACCUGCAUUCGAUACGGGCGAGCUUGAGUAUGGUAGGGGAGUCUGGAAUUCCUGGUGUAGCGGUGGAAUGCGCAGAUAUCAGGAGGAACACCAAUGGCGAAGGCAGGACUCUGGGCCAUUACUGACACUGAGGAGCGAAAGCGUGGGGAGCGAACAGGAUUAGAUACCCUGGUAGUCCACGCCGUAAACGGUGGGCACUAGUUGUGGGGACCUUCCACGGUCUCUGCGACGCAGCUAACGCAUUAAGUGCCCCGCCUGGGGAGUACGAUCGCAAGAUUAAAACUCAAAGGAAUUGACGGGGCCCCGCACAAGCAGCGGAGCAUGCGGCUUAAUUCGACGCAACGCGAAGAACCUUACCAAGGCUUGACAUAUACAGGAAUAUGGCAGAGAUGUCAUAGCCGCAAGGUCUGUAUACAGGUGGUGCAUGGUUGUCGUCAGCUCGUGUCGUGAGAUGUUGGGUUAAGUCCCGCAACGAGCGCAACCCUCGUUCUGUGUUGCCAGCAUUUAGUUGGGGACUCACAGGAGACUGCCGGGGUUAACUCGGAGGAAGGUGGGGAUGACGUCAAAUCAUCAUGCCCCUUAUGUCUUGGGCUGCACGCAUGCUACAAUGGCUGGUACAAACGGCUGCAAUACCGCAAGGUGGAGCGAAUCCGAGAAAGCCAGUCUCAGUUCGGAUUGGGGUCUGCAACUCGACCCCAUGAAGUCGGAGUUGCUA
rnacentral:rRNA from 1 species